ensembl:lncRNA HULC hepatocellular carcinoma up-regulated long non-coding RNA
GGUAAUCAGCUGGGGUUUCCUUAGGGAGGUUGGAAGGUUUGUUCUUUCUCUCUUUGCAGUAAAUCUUGCAGGUGUGUGUUUUUUGGGUUCAUGCUGCUUGUAUGAGCUGUGAUGAUUACCAUGAAAAUUUGCAGCUUCACUUUUAAAACCAGUGAGAGCACAAACCCACCGGGAGGAACAAGCAAUUCCAGACGUACUGCUUUAGGAGGUGUAACACUCACCGGCGAGGUUUGUAGCUUCACUCCUGAGCCAGUGAGACCACGAAUCCACCAGCAGGAAAAAAAGAUUCCAAACAUGUCUGAAUGUCAGAAGAAACAAUUUCCAAACACACUGCCUUUAAGAACUGUAACACUCCCUGUGAGGGUCUAUGGCUUCAUUCUUUAAGUCAGUGAGACUAAGACGCCACCAAUUCGGGGCACAUUGGGACUAUAGUUACUGCCACCAUGCACAUCUAAACAACGUUCUGGAAUAUCUUCUUGCUUUGGUCAACCACCAGGCAUGGGAAAAUGGCUUCAUCGGUUGUCUUUCCACAAACAAGAUUCUAACUCAAAUAGCUCAAAGGACACCUUCUCCGGGAAACCUUCCCUGACUUCCGACGCUGUUUCCUGUUACCCAUGAUGUACAUUAGAACACAGCAACUAUUUGAGUGAAAUAAGUAUUUUUAUUUAUUUCAAGAGGAAAGCAAAGUCGAAGGGUGUUCAGGGCUACAGUUUUGCUUGACCAGAUGUUGCCAAGUUUCAAAGUCAAAUCGGUUCAUCUCCUGGCUAUCAGCUAAAGGGUGUUGUAUUUGUAAGCAUUGAGAACUUCUAUCUACUGCUAUUGUAUUUUGCAUAUUUGUAUUUUCUGAGUUCUAUUUGAGAGAGACGGAAUUACGCAUUUCCAUAUGGAUCAUCCUCUUCCCUAUGUAUGUUGCUUUAUUGCCUUUUGGAAGAAAAAAAGUGAGAGUUGCAGUCUGUAUUUAGGCCAUUUCUAUGUUCUUUAUUGGGUUACGUUUGAAUGCCCAAUUUGAUCUCAAUGGCACGUCCUUUGUAACAUAAAAUAAAACAUGGUGCUCAGGAAAAGUAACGACACACACAUCCAGGCCCUUUCAUAGCAGUUGGUAAAGCUUAAGCCUUGCCUCUCUGUGUGGUAGUUUCCCUUCCCUUUCUUUUCGUUCCCUGUGACAAGCAGCCAUUGUCCCCUUGGUGAGAUCUGCAAUAUUACUUUGACCCCAGCCCAUCAAUCUGCCUCAAUUGGAUAAUGAUCUGUAAUCACGUUCUUUCAGGGGAGUCUAUAAAUUUGCCAAGGCCCCAUUCUCUUCUGAAGGACUCCUUAUGUUCACUCCCAUUUGUGCAAAUGUGCUCUCUUUUACAGGGCUAAAUAGCCAUGCACAUGGUCCAUUCUGUGAGGAGGCACCGGGCGGUUCUCUGUUGAUUUUCCACGCUCUAGUCUCUUAAAGGAGACUAAGGCUGACAUGCAGGGACACAGUGGGGGGGUGGCCCGAGCCAGGCCACAUCACAGGCAGCCGCUUUUCUCAUUAAGACUGACCCAUCAUUAGGUCACUUUGUGCCAUCCUUGUAAUCAAUGAGCUUAAUGUUUAGUGCAAAAAAAAAAAAA